AUGCUGGGUGACUCAGAGGUGGCAUCAGGCCCAGGAGUCACCACUGCACCCAUGGCCUGGGUGAGGGCACCACAGCUUCUGCCUGGGCCUGGGCGAGACAGGGCCUCAGCCUUCCCGUUGGUCAUUUUUGAUCUAGAUUCUUGUUUUCUCCACUUCUCUUUGUUUUCUCUUUUGUUCCACUUGUGCAAAUGGUGCAAAAUCAUCUGAGUUGCCUUUUACUGGUGGUGAAGACAAAACAAUCCUAUUCUAGCUGGAGACUCAAGGACAAUCUCUUCAAACUUCAGGCCCAAAGCACAUGAAAUAACAUGAAAAGAGGAGGGUGGGCAAGCAAGCAAGGAGGACGAAACUUCAUCAUUUAAUUGGACAGUUGACGCCUGUAUGCAAAUGGACUAAAACUUAUAAAAAUGUGAGAUCUCACGACCAAGCCCUCUUUUGCUUCCAUCUUGGAGCCAUCCAGGUACUGCCAGGGUGUGGCCUUUGAAGGCUCUUCAGUAAAUAUCCUCUUUAUUCCUCUAAACUCCCUCUAGCCUCUGUUCCAGCUCCUCAAGGCAUCAACCUCUCCAGGUGUUUGUCUCUCCCCAGGGACACGGUGACAGUCAUGAGCUGUCCCUGCUGUGUCCCCCACACCUCCCACAAGGACAGAUGCUCCAGUCACACCUCCCUGAACCCACAGGUGUGCCCUUGCCGUGACAGAAUUCCCACCCCUAUGCUCAUGGAUCCGAUUUGGUUGAUGGGGCCCUCAUCCUUUCCAAGUUUCAUGGCUUUGAAAAAAAGCUCUACUUCAGCAAUUUAAGCUUUUCUUCCUGGAGGCACAAUACUCAGACACGAGGAAAAGACAAAGAGGCAAAACCUCCCACACGGGAAGGAAAAAAUAGAUUUCACCCCCAGCUCUGCCUGACUGUAUGAGGUUUGUGUGUCUGCCACAACUUCAGGGCUUCACCCUUAGGGUGACCAGGGAGGACACUCUGGAAAAUGGGAAUUCUGGAUCCUUUUCAGGCAAUUUCAGCCUGGUUUUGUUCACAGUGAUGAAGAAAACCAAGGGAUUAAAUGAAUUCCAAAGUCCUGCACCCUUCAGGACAAACUCAAUGCCAACAGUAAUUUCUUAUCACCCCAGUUUGAGUCACACCAGAACCACAGCGGGCAAGAACUGUGACAAGGUGGAAUGGAACCUGUGCCAUUGCAAACAUCCCCACAAAUCUCACCUUUUGUGUGUUUAAUGUCCUUGAAACUGACUCCACCAUCAAGGGUUUAAUAUGGAGAGAGAAACCCAGCUCAAACCCAGUUCAACAGAGCCCAUGUCACCUUUUUCAUUCCCAUGGCCUCAGAAAUGAGCAGAGCAAAAGCAAAUGAGCAGAGAAAAAGUACAAAGCUCUGCAUCACUCCAACUGAAAUUGAAUUUGAAAUUUGGGUUAUGCAACAACAUGGCAUUGUCUCCUUUUAUUAAGGCCACCAGCUCCUGGAGGUCCUGGGCGUGUUAUUGUUCUCAAUUAACACACGUCUCCCCUUUCUCCCUGGAAUCCUUCCCGCUGGUUUGCAUUGUAACAAUACCUCCAACUCAUGGGCUCCAAGCUGGAUUUCAAUUUGUGAGGCCACUUUCGCUUCAUAACCCACCACAGAAUGUUCAGUCUCCAUUUGAACAUGUUGCAUUAAUUAAAUUCCCAGAAACAAACAAACAAACAACAAUUUCUUUGCUUUCUUUCUUAUUAAGUGGCUUGGGUGUGAAGAAUAAACCUUUACAUUAAGGAAAAAAACCCUCAGCAAAUGAAGCCAGACAGUAGCUGUGUCUUUUGGCAAUGAGAAUAAUCUAAUAAAACAUCACCUUUCAAAGACAAAAAAAGUUCCUCUGGACACUCAGUAACGUCACCUCGGCACGAAAUAUAUUCCACUCUUGGUUUGUGUUUUUUGGACCAACGCAGCUUAGGAUGGUUGUUAUCCCAAGCCCAUGCCACCAGAGUUGGAAUUAAUAAUAUAAACGGUGAGCCCAAGCCCUGAUUGACAGCUCUGAUUCUGUUAAUACCUCCUAGUUGGGCUUCCACCACGGUCAGAAGUUAAAAUUUAUUUUGACAAGCUUUCUGCUGGUUAUGGAGGCUGGGAGCUUUAUACCGGGGUAUCCAGUGAUUAAAUAUCUGGCAUAGAUUAUCAAAAACCAGAGGGGGAAGGCAGGGAAGGCCUCUUGAUGACAAACUGGAUCCUGCAGCGCGGCCAACUUGGUUUUAAUUAAGUUAUUACCGCCCUUAAUGGGAAGGGGCUGUU